rnacentral:lncRNA from 1 species
CUUUUUUUUUUUUUUUUUUUUUUUUUUAGAGAGAGUCUCUUUCUUUCAUCAUGCUGGAGUGCCGUGGCGCAAUCUCAGUUCACCGCAACCUCUGACUCCCUGGUUUAAGCAAUUCUCGUGCCUCAGCCUCCAGAGUCGCUGGGAUUACAGGCACGCGCCACCACGCCCAGCUAAUUUUUUUUGUACUUUUAGCAGAGAUGGGGUUUCACCAUGUUGGCCAGGAUGGUCUCGAUCUCCUGACCUCGUGAUCCGCCAGCCUCGGCCCCCCAAGGUGAUGGGAUUACAGGUGUGAGCCACUGCGCCAAACCUGGGUGGGGGGGCAUUUUUUAAGGGUUUCUGAAAGGAAUUUAGAACUGGAAGGUAAAUACCUGUCCAUCUCAAUGAAAUGCAUUUUCCUCAAUCUCAUUUUGCUUUCUUAGAAAGAGAGUGGAAGAAAAUUAGAAAUCUGUUUAGUUACCACAUCGUUGAAGGGUAACUGUCUGCAAGCCACAAUAAAAAUGUGUCCUAAGUGCAGCAGUCAAAAUGCAUUUCCAGAUUUGCUAUCCAGGAUGACUGGACUGUGGCCGUGUUAUCAUGUCGAGGGUCCUUCAUUAGUGCAUUCUGUUGUCAGAAUUCAGGGAUAUAAGUGGAUAGUUGUCAAAUUUAUUCCUUUUCCUUGGCCUCCUGGAAAUAGCAGAUGAUUUAGAAAGAUAAAGCUGCGCUUUCUGUUUUGUGCCCCAUCGAGGCUGUGUAGGAAUUGGCGUAUCCAAUACUUGGUGUUAGGAUCUCCUUUCUUUUUCUCACGAAGCCUAAAUUAAUUUUUCCAAAACAGACACUGUGAAGUGCUUAAUAUCUUGAAGAUAUUAAGGAGUCUUUAAAAUGAUCAUAUGAUUAAUUUUAGGAAAUACCAUGUUAAAAAAAGCUAAACAGUUUUUAUUUUUUAACUGCAGGUCUUCUCAUAGCCUUUAAUUUGCAAAAAUGAAAUACAAAGAGUUGGAUAUAAUAUACAACGUUUUUCUAACUCAGCUGACUACGCAACACUUUUGUUUAUAGAACAUACUCUUGAGAUCAUAUCAGUAUUAUCAGUUAAGAUGCUAUUAUCUGUGAGUUAUAGACAAGCUAAGAGUUAUGGAAAAGCUAAGAGUUAUUUACAAAAAUAAAUAACUCUCCACCUCCCAGUUCCAGGGUUGAUUCAGAGGCUUUUUGGUAUCAGGGCAGUGGUUUGCAAUCCCUGUGCUUCCGUUGGCCUUUCUUUCCUUCUUCCAAGAUGUCUGCCAUCUACCCCAUAUCACGUUCUCACAGGGCAGCACUCUCAUCAGAAGGAAGGAGAAGAGGAGUUUCUCCUUCACACGUCUUGCAUUUUACUGCAGGAAAAUAAUUCCCAGAAUUCGUCACUGCAGUCGUUUUCUUAGAUGUCAUUGGCCAAUCUCUACAUCAAUCACUGGCAAGGUGAACUGGAAUCUCAGCGAUUGGCUACAGCAGUUAUGAUUCAUUUGCAGCAUCAGGCACAUUGUUACCUGCACAAAAGUAGGAUUUACUUAAACUGGAGGAAGCAGAAAAUGCACUCCAGUGUUGUUACCCAAUGGAGUCUGCUACAAAAGGAAUUCACAGGGGUCCACUCUGUUUGUCAGGGUGCUGGUUUCCUGUCAUUAGUUUUCAUUACUCUCUUUCAUCCUACAUGUGUGGGCUCAGCAACUUUGUGAAUUCUGGUUUGUGGAAUUUGACACAGAUGAUUUCUCUGCCAACAUUGAAUCUCACAGGUCACAUCUUCCAUCCUAACCUAUAUCCUAACUUUUCUACCCAUCUUGGCAUUGUCUUUGUAUUUUGCCUUGUGUAAUUUGGACUGCACUGGAUAUAGUCUUUGGUCAUAUCCCCUCAGCAUUAGGUGUGGGCAGCAGGCAUGGGGCAUCGUGCAUUAGUAACCAGCUCAGCCCACAGAUGCUGUCCAUGAGCUUCCUGUCCCCUACCCUUCCCCAAAGAAGGGCAUCAGCCAGUUACUCCCAACAGUAGGGUCACUCUUCUCAGAGAACUAUUGGGAUUACUUACAUCGCUCGGUUGUUACGCACACUACACAACAGGGAAACUUGUUCAUUCCUCCGUCCCAAGGUUUGUCAAUCUAGAGUAGACUGAGUGUUCUUCUGAGCUUGCAAUUCACAUUAUUGGCUGGAUUCUUCUGGGGACAUGGUCAGAGGAGCUCACUAUGGAAUCUGUGCAUUAACCACUCCUGAUCCUAUAGGCUGUAUUUACCAGCUUGUUCUAGCAUCAGCACAGGUUAUGGUGAUAGUCGUACAGUGACCAUAUCCAAUUAUCAACAUUUACCUCUCCAGCAUCUGCACCAACAGAUGGACAAAUAAACAACUAAGAGAGAAAUAAAAUGAUCCUGGGGGCCUGUUGUUUCCCUGAACUAUCUACCAGUUGAGGGAGAUUGUAUGUUCAUAGGGUGGGAGAUUCCAAAGCCCACCUUUCUGAGCACUCAUAAAAUAUUUGAUUACAAAGGGAUCUUUGUGCUUGAGUGGUAGAUGUUGGUUUGGGGGCUGAUUAACGAGCUUAGUUAGAAAACUACUAGGUAGCCAAAUGCAUGACUGCCAGAUUCUGUUCUGUGGAUUCAAAUACUGAUCUGCAAUAUGGCAAUGUGACUCUAUAGUCAGCAUACUAGGAAGGGUGGUUAGGGCUGGUGAAGCACUGGUAUGGACUUAGGUUCAGAUCCCACUUCUAAAUGCUCCUUAGUGUCUCAAAGCUUUACUUUACCUAUACGUAAAAUAAGAAUAGCUUUCUCAUAGGAUUGGUGACUGGAUAAAACAACUUCGUUAAAGCACUGAAAAAAAAAAAAAA